AUCCCAUGAUUAGGACACUUCCUCAAUAGGUCCUUGAACCUCUCCCAUGCUUCAUAAAGAGAUUCGUUGUCUUGUUGGGUGAAGUUGUUAUUUUCUGACCUCAGCUU